GCUCGCUCUUCCGAGACGUUUACCGGAGACUGUGUUUAUCAUUCCAGCGGCUGGGAGAGCCGGAGAGCGCCGCUUGUGUCGCCCACCUUGAUCCGGAACAGCGGGUCGGUGGGCGAUGAUCAGUGAUUCAGUGCAAGUUCCUAACAUCUAAUGUGGUAAUCUCAGACAGACACACGGAUGGACAGAUAACCAGAAAACAUAAUUUCUCAAUGAUCUAGUGGCGGAGGCAUAAAAAAAUAUCAUUGCCAUCAUCUCGACUCCUCUUUGCUCAAGGUGGGAAUACACCCUGGAAAGGACGUCAGUCCAUCACAGAGCGGAUGUGUCCCCCGAGGCCUUGCGCUUGCGUGAGGGGGUGUUCUGGCAUUGGUCCGAGUUUUCAGGAAGCCCGUUCGCCGCUGCUCCGGGAAGAUAAUAUGCAUCCAUUGGUGGUGAGGGUUCCUGAAUGGAGGAAAAGGAAAAAGCAACAGUGAAUGUUUUCCAUAGACUCUUAAAGCAAUAAGGCAUGAGAGAGCAUGCAUUACAGUUAUUUUAGCAUGGGUAAAGGUGUUCUUUGGUAAAACACAAAAUGGAGUAAAAACCCCUUACACCCAUGAUAUAAAUCACUAACGCACGCUGUCAUAUGGCUUAUUGCUUUUAUAAAACAGUGACAUAAAAUUUUUUAUUUUAUUUGCAGUAAACAAUUCUUCUGCCAGGGGGCACGGUGGCUCAGUGGUUAGCACUGUUGCCUCACACCUCCGGGGUUGGGGGCUUGAUUCCCGCCUCCGCCCAGUGUGCACAGAGUUUGCAUGUUCUCCCUGUGCUUUGGGGGUUUUCUCCGGGUACUCCGGUUUCCUCCCCCAGUCCAGUGCAUUGUAGGCUAAUUGAUAUUUCCAAAUUGUCCAUAGUGUGUCCGAUUGUGCCCUGUGAUUAGCAUUUUACAACUGCUUUAACAAAUGCUGAUCAGAUUUUAGGACCAAAACAAUCUGUUUUAUAGAUUGUGCUUUUUUUUUUAAAGAAUAAAAAUGUCCAGCUAAUGGGUAGUUCAACAGCUACUGGAUUAGAUGCUGAUAUGUACAUUAGGGCUGUAUUGCAUUAAAGUCAGAGAAACCUGAAAAACUGAAACAAGUCUUGAACAGCUUUGCCGGUUUGUAAACAAGAAUAAGACAAUACUUGAUUUUGAUGCAAAGCUUAGAAAUAAGAAAUAUGUUGCAAAUAUCCUGGAAACUGCAUUCACUAUUCUGACCUGCAUGAGGUAAUCAGCAAUGUACUCAGGCCUGAGGCAUUUAACUCCAUAAGCCAUGGCCUCAGUCACAUCCACUCUGACAUCAUUUGGUCCCAGCCGGCUGAAGUCUGCGAAGAGAUGAGUGGUUUCCUUAUACAGAGAGGGAGAUGGGCUUGGCAAUACCUGUACACAAAUGGAGAUAUGAACUUUUAGAAUGCAUUAGUAGGAGAAAAAAAAUUGAGUAAACGCUCUAAUAAAGGCUUGAUAAAUGAACAUGGUAAAACAAUUUGUAUGAUUGGAUUAUAAUAUUUAUAGUCCCCUCCGAAAGUAUUGGAACAGCAAGGCCAAUUCUUUUUGUUUUUGCUAUACGCUGAAGAUGUUUGGGUUUGAGAUCAAAAGAUGAACAUGAGAUGAUCAGAAUCUCGGCUUUUAUUUCCUGUUAUUUACAUCUAGACGGGUUAAACAACUUAGAACAGAACACUGCACCUUUGGUGGACCAACCAAUUUUCAGAUGAGCAACAGAUGGUCAAUUCAAAGAGAUAGUAAAUUAAAGUAAAAAACAGUAUUUGGUUGCAUAUCUCUUGCUUGCAUUAACUGCAUCAGGUGAUCCACUGACAUCACCAAAUUGUUCAUUCUUCUUUUCUGAUGCUUUUCCUGGCUUGUACCACAGCUUCUUUCAGUUGUUAUUUGUUUUGAGGGGUAUCUCCCUUCAGUCUCCUCUUCAGGGGGUGAAAUACAUGCUCUGACAAUGUUUCUGUAGACUUCUGAAUUCAUUCUACUGCUAACAUCAUGAGUUCCAUCUUCAAUAAAAAUUAGUGAGCCUGUUCCAGAAGCACGUGGUUUCUUUCUUUUUCAGGACAUUCCAAAUUGUUGUAUUGGCUAAGCCCAAUGCUUGUGCAAUGGCUCUCAUCUAUUUUGCCUCUUUUCUCAGCUUCAAAAUGGCUUGCCUUUCUCCCAUAGACAGCUCUCUGGUCUUCAUGUUGGUUUAUCCAUUUUAGCAACAAAAUGCAGUCUUCACGGACGAAACCCAGAGUUCAAACCAAGAGUAGACAUUCAGAGCUAUUAAUUGUGUAAACAAUCAAUAUAACGGGGCACACCCGGGCAACAAGAAAUAUCUGUCAGCUUGGAUUCAAACAAAAGGUGCUAUGUUCUAAGUUGUUUAAAAAAUCUAGACGUAAAUAUGAGGAAAUGAAAGCUGAAAUUCUGAUCUAUGGUCUCUCAUUCAUCUUUCAAUCUCAAACCCAAAAGUCUACAGUGUAUAGCAAAAAAAAAUAAAAAUAAAAAUAGAAUUGGCCUUGCUGUUCUAAUACUUUCAGAGGGAACUGCAUCUAGGAGACAUUGACAGCUUUUGAUAAAUGAAACAGCAAAAAUUUAAAUAUUGCUAGAACACUGGCUUAAUGCUGUGUAGGCAGGUCAAUAUGCACAAGAAUGCUACAGCAGUAUUUACACAGCACUAUGGCAAGUAACCAACCUGAUCAAAGCAUAAAGUUCACUGCGUGAAGAAAUCACACAUAGCUAGCAAGCUAGCAAUAAAGUACCCAUAGACAGGCUGACUUGGUUAAACUGGCUCCUUUUCUACCUAACAUGAUCCUGAUUAUAUCAGUAAGACUAAUUUAUGAUGUAUGUCAUAAGUCAUGAUAAAGAUACUUCGAAAUGAAUUAAGAACAGACCUUUGCUCCUCCAGACUGCAGCAAUCUUCUGAAUCCUGCAUCUCUGGCCUGGUCUAUAUUCAACAUCACUGUCCAGCCUCCAAACGCACCCUAAAGAAGGAAUUGAAGAAUAUGAAGGAAAUUAAUGCGAUCUGAAGUGUAUAUAAGAAUGAUAGGAGAGAUGAAGUGUGAGGUUUGUACCUCUUUAUCUGUGCGACCCUGCAAUGAUUUUCUCCAUCGCAAGGCUGCUAGUGCCAGUCUCUUCUGUUGGGAGUUUAUGGAGGGAAGAGCAUCCAGAAUAGAGCGGCUACCCCAUUCAUAAUCCUCCUCCUGAAAGAAACACACAAAGUGUACAAGAGACAACUAUUCUUAAUAAAGAUCAUACAAAACAUCCACAGCACUGCUAAACACGUAAUUAUAAACUACAUAAUAUAUAUAGUUCUUUAUUUUUUUCUUCAUUAAUGCUGGCUAAUUCGGCAUGUUUUUUCAGGUGGAAUCUCAGAAUUAUCAUUCUCUAAUAAUUUGCAUAUGUAAUAAGAAGGGUUCAAAGCAGUGAAGGUAAAUUUGUAAGCUUUUACAGAGGUACUGAGAAUGUCAUGUUUUAACACAAAAAAAAUCUGCACUGUGUUAGGUUUAAUGAGUGCUGGCGUAAUUGAAUGUUGACAAGAACACUGUGUGUGUGCACACGCUUUUGUAGCUGGGAGAGCACUCACUGGUAUGAAGUGUCCCUCAGCACGACAGGCCUCCAGGUAUGAGCGGUGAAGGAUCCAUUUGCCAGCUGCCAUGGCAGCCAGGUAUUUCUCAUUCCUCAGAGGAUAACCCACAAUGAUGUGAGUACAGCUAGGGUCAAAACACUGCUUUUCUAGUAAGACACCACCUGCACAUGCACAUAUUCAGCAUUUAAUGUGUGUUAAUAAGA